GUCCGCGAGGACAAUUUGACAAUUUGACCUCAAAUCAGGUAGGACUACCCGCUGAACUUAAGCAUAUCAAUAAGCGG
rnacentral:rRNA from 1 species